rnacentral:rRNA from 1 species
AUAUGAAGGGUGCAAGCGUUACUCGGAAUUACUGGGCGUAAAGCGUGCGUAGGUGGUUGUUUAAGUCUGUCGUGAAAGCCCUGGGCUUAACCUGGGAAUGGCGAUGGAAACUGGGCGACUAGAGUGUGGCAGAGGGUAGUGGAAUUCCUGGUGUCGCAGUGAAAUGCGUAGAGAUCAGGAGGAACAUCCGUGGCGAAGGCGACUGCCUGGGCCAACACUGACACUGAGGCACGAAAGCGUGGGGAGCAAACAGGAUUAGAUACCCUGGUAGUCCACGCCCUAAACGAUGCGAACUGGAUGUUGGGUGCAAUUUGGCACGCAGUAUCGAAGCUAACGCGUUAAGUUCGCCGCCUGGGGAGUACGGUCGCAAGACUGAAACUCAAAGGAAUUGGCGGGG